rnacentral:rRNA from 1 species
AGAGUUUGAUCAUGGCUCAGGACGAACGCUGGCGGCGGGCUUAACACAUGCAAGUCGCGGGAGAAGGGGUCCUUCGGGGCCCUGGAGACCGGCGGAUGGGUGAGUAACGCGUAGGUAAUCUGCCGUUAGGACGGGGAUAACCUCGGGAAACCGGGGCUAAUACCCGAUGAUGCAGCGGGGCCGCAUGGUCACAGUUGUUAAACCCUUCGGGGGCCUGACGAUGAGCCUGCGUGCCAUUAGUUAGUUGGUCGGGUAAUGGCCGGCCAAGACGAUGAUGGCUAGGGGGUCUGAGAGGAUGAUCCCCCACACUGGGACUGAGACACGGCCCAGACUCCUACGGGAGGCAGCAGUGAGGAAUCUUGCGCAAUGGGGGCAACCCUGACGCAGCCACGCCGCGUGCUGGAAGACGGCCCUAUGGGUUGUAAACAGCUUUUGUUUGGGAAGAACCUGGGGGUUUCGACCCCCACUGACGGUACCAAUUGAAUAAGCACCGGCUAACUCCGUGCCAGCAGCCGCGGUAAUACGGAGGGUGCAAGCGUUGUCCGGAAUUAUUGGGUGUAAAGGGUGUGCAGGCGGAAGUUUAAGUCGGAGGUGAAAUCUUG